AUAACGGUUUCAAUGUUAAACAUUUUAAAUAUCUAAUUGAUGAUUCACUAAUGCCUGUCGAUAUUGUAUAUAUCUAGGAUAGUCCAUAGAAUGUUACUUUACUAAGCGGGAAUCUAAACAUUGUUACUUGGAUAAUAAAGCCACAUUUGAUGCUGAUAUUAUAUAUGACAUUAAAAUUGUUCGAGCUCAACAAAUACAUCCUCUGAAUCCAUAGCAUUAAAUAUUUAAGUUAAAUUAUAAACAUGAACUACAUAUAAUGGCUCGGUUACGCUGGUCUACCUAAGCUUUGAGGAUAAGGGAUCACAUCUGUUGGCAGCAUAUAUGGGAAACGACUAUAUAUCAAUGCGACUGAUGUAACAAACUCCUUCGUUUCAGUGUUGUCGCCAAUAUCUUACACUGUAAUAUUAUAUUUUCCGUGCAGACUAUUUAAAAAUAGGACAUGAUAACGAAAAAGAAAAUGUAAUAAUUUAGAGGAUAACUCAACAUUUGGUUGAUACAUGUUUACCUUUCCAUGCUGUUUUAUAAUGAUUAUAAGCGUAAGGUCCAACACCUAGUAAGAUUUGGAUAAGGUAAUGUUAUCACUCCAACCUGUCAAUCCCCGGCAUAUUUACUUUUAGCUGUAUAUGCAGAAAUAUUAUUUAUAAGUAAGAAAACAGUUUUGGAGUCACAAUAUUUUACAGUUACUAUUUAAUAGGUCAAUUCAAAUAAAGAUAUACAAAUUAUGUUGUGGUGCAUCACGUCACCCCUGAAAAUAUGACGAUGUAUUUUUAUGCAAAAACUGUAUAUUUCGAAGUGGCCACAGGCUUCGACCAAAAUAAGUUUAUGGUCAUUAUUCGGCAAUAUUUUUUUUGUUCUGAAAAGUAUAGACUGGUCGAGACAUGUGGACACUAUGAAAUAUCGAAUUUCCCCGCCUGGAAAUAUCCAAAUUUCACCAUUUUGGUGCAUUUUCGUGAGUUUAGUGGUCUAUUGUGGCAGAUUUUAUCGAUAAUUUCCAGCAAAUUUAUAUCCAUAAUAAAAGAUAAACACUCCAAUUAAUGUUUUAUGGUUGUAUAUUUAAAACAUAUAUACUUUUAAAUUGGGCUCCACAACAGGGCCAUUUACCCCCUUUCGUGGCUCUACUCCUUUAUGUAGUUUGUAUAAAAUGUAAUCCAAAAAACAAUUUCUUCGGUAUGACCUAUAGUGAAAAUGCCAAAUCACACACUUGCCAGACACUUAUAAAUGUGAAGAAUUAAACAUAUCUUUUUACGGGAUCUUUUUUGUGGUAGCUUUGUUUUCACCGAGUCCGGGACAACAGAGGCUUUGGUAGGAUUAAACAAAUUGAUGUAAACAAAACAUGUGAAACAACAAUUGACAUAGUAGGUGACAUAAUACUAAUACAGUAUCAACAACAAAAGUUCACAAAGGCAGCGUACGUGUGUGGCACUCAUGCCCAGUUCAUCAUCACGUAUCCUCCUGCCGCGUCUCGCGAUCGCGCACACGUACCGCCAUACACUUCUCAAAAUAGCAUUCUCACUUUGAACAAGUCUUCGCCAUCUCUUCUCCUUAUGGUUUUCACGACCGCUUCCCUCGCUCGUGCUAUCUAAGCCCAACCGUCUGUCUUUGGUUUCCUUGCUAGAGUGCAUGGUAAGGGAAGAAACUCCUGACGAAUAUUUUAAAUGCCACACACAUGUAUAUAUAUCUAAGGAAUGUCCUUUCCUAUAGCCGAGUCACACAUAUAUUUAUACUCAAAUCAUAUACUAGUAUUUAUUUUGACAACACAGUACAGUGAUUUUUCUCCGUAUUACACGGCGAUACUUCAUCUCAUGAUAUGCCGUCCUCACAUGGAGGAAGAUAUUAAAUACCUGUGACGUAAAUGCAUGAUUAAUUACUGUCUAUGACGAAUGCCAGUGGCGCACAUGUGUUAAUUCCACGAAAUCACGCAUAUCCCGAAAACGAUACAAUAUUUUCACAUAUUAUCUUCGCAGUUCUUUAUAUUCCAAAUGUAUCUAACGAUUAAUAACCAUAACAUCCAAGGUACACUUUUAGACUGCCAAGAGAGGUAAGACUUGAACAGCGAUUUUUUCCCCGUGAAAUAUGAAUUUUAAUAAGAAAACCCAAAUAAAAAAAUAAUGUAUCUACAUGAAUACGGUUUGUAUAUAUUCUCUUAUUAAAGUAAUUGACUUCUAUGAACAAUGACGUUUUCUUCAAACUAUGUAUGUAUUAUUUAUCUUGGGUAAUACGUACCAGUUGCUAUUUUCCUUAGUCUUGGAUUCGGUAAUCCCAAUAGUUUCCAACAUGUAUAUGUCCCAUUAACUACAUUAGCUACAGUCAUGUCAUUAUUAUCAACAUGUGUAUGUCCCAUAAACUACAUUAGCUACAGUCAUAAGUCUUUAUUAUCAACAUGUGUAUGUCCCAUAAACUACAUUAGCUACAGUCAUGUCAUUAUUAUCAACAUGUGUAUGUCCCACAAACUAGAUUAGCUACAGUCAUAAGUCUUUAUUUUCAACAUCUAUAUGUUCCAUUAACUACAUUAGCUACAGUCAUAGGUCUUUAUUAUCAACAUGUAUAUGUCCCAUUAACUACCUUAGCUACCGCCAUAGGUCUUUAUUAUCAACAUGUAUAUGUCUCAUUAACUACAUUAGUUACAGACAUACGUCUUUAUCAUCAACAUGUUUAUGUCUAAUUAACUUCAUUAGCUAGUCAUAGGUAUUUAUUAUCAAUAUGUCUAUAUGUCUAAUAUUCCAUUAAUUAUAACACUAGCUUUCCCUCUGCUAUACCGCUAGAAAUAUACUGCAAUAAAGCGAUAUCUGAGUCUAAUUUAUUCUAAACAUAAAACUUUAUUAGCUAUAGGCUUUUAAACACAAUUAUACAUGUACAUAUUGUAAAACCCUGCAGCACAUUUUUAAUUAUAGUCCUGGCACUUCAUUCGAUAAUGACCAUAUCUUUGCUAUGGUCUUGCAGUGUCCUUCCAUUAGCUGCCACUACGUUUGUAUUAUAACGUUUUUUUUCUAAAUAUGCUUAUAUUAUAAACCGUUACAUUGUUUCUGUGUUCUUAAUAUACUGUGUCACAUUGAAUAAAGCGAUAUCUGAGUCUAGACUUCUGUUACUCUAUACUCUAGUUUACUUGUUUUAGCCGGAUGACAUUACAGAAUAUACAUCGCUCCCGCUCAUAAUGACUAGAUUUAUAUAAUGUGUACUGAAGUACGCAGAAGGAAAGAUGUAUAAAAACGCAUAUCAAAUCAUAUGUAUUAUAAUGUGAUGCAGUACUCAAUCAGUGCUUAUUUUUCUACAAUCUUGUGGCGACGCUACAACUAUUUCAUUUACUUGCCGAUUAACACUUUCUCCACGCCUCUUAAACAAAUCGAAUUGUUUGGUUAUUAAUUAAGAGAGACAUCUCUCUUCUCAGAUCAUAUUAUCAUAAUUUGAUGACAUCGGUGAGUUCUGGUUGAUCUAUAAAUCACUUUAAAAUGUUUUGAAAUUUUCAAUGCAUGUGACGUUAUAUCUAUGUUUUUUUUCAGUGGCAGUGUCCAAAAUGUGGUGGUGUGUUCAAGCAAUAAUGGUCGAGACUGAAAGGCACUACUGACAGGAAAAAGAGCCAAUACGUUUCGAAGCGACGUUAAAUGCCACAUGUUUUAGUUGAUAUGGAUACAUCAUGACGACAGAAUACAUACGUAUAAGAGAUAAAUACGACUUUGAUUAAUUGGAUAUUGAGUUUUUCUUUUGUUCGUUCCAUAUUCAUUUGUAUCUAAUGAACAUUUUGGAAUUCAUCGAAAUUACAUUGUUUAUAUGAUUUUUAUUUGUUAAAUAAUCAAUAAAACUAAUAAUCACUGAACAUAUUUCAA